rnacentral:rRNA from 1 species
GAGUUUGAUCCUGGCUCAGGACGAACGCUGGCGGCGUGCUUAACACAUGCAAGUCGAACGAAGAGCGAUGGAAGCUUGCUUCUAUCAAUCUUAGUGGCGAACGGGUGAGUAACGCGUAAUCAACCUGCCCCUCAGAGGGGGACAACAGUUGGAAACGACUGCUAAUACCGCAUACGAUCUGACCUCGGCAUCGAGGAUAGAUGAAAGGUGGCCUCUACAUGUAAGCUAUCACUGAAGGAGGGGAUUGCGUCUGAUUAGCUAGUUGGAGGGGUAACGGCCCACCAAGGCGAUGAUCAGUAGCCGGUCUGAGAGGAUGAACGGCCACAUUGGGACUGAGACACGGCCCAGACUCCUACGGGAGGCAGCAGUGGGGAAUCUUCCGCAAUGGACGAAAGUCUGACGGAGCAACGCCGCGUGAGUGAUGACGGCCUUCGGGUUGUAAAGCUCUGUUAAUCGGGACGAAAGGCCUUCUUGCGAAUAGUGAGAAGGAUUGACGGUACCGGAAUAGAAAGCCACGGCUAACUACGUGCCAGCAGCCGCGGUAAUACGUAGGUGGCAAGCGUUGUCCGGAAUUAUUGGGCGUAAAGCGCGCGCAGGCGGAUAGGUCAGUCUGUCUUAAAAGUUCGGGGCUUAACCCCGUGAUGGGAUGGAAACUGCCAAUCUAGAGUAUCGGAGAGGAAAGUGGAAUUCCUAGUGUAGCGGUGAAAUGCGUAGAUAUUAGGAAGAACACCAGUGGCGAAGGCGACUUUCUGGACGAAAACUGACGCUGAGGCGCGAAAGCCAGGGGAGCGAACGGGAUUAGAUACCCCGGUAGUCCUGGCCGUAAACGAUGGGUACUAGGUGUAGGAGGUAUCGACCCCUUCUGUGCCGGAGUUAACGCAAUAAGUACCCCGCCUGGGGAGUACGACCGCAAGGUUGAAACUCAAAGGAAUUGACGGGGGCCCGCACAAGCGGUGGAGUAUGUGGUUUAAUUCGACGCAAACGCGAAGAACCUUACCAGGUCUUGACAUUGAUGGACAGAACUAGAGAUAGUUCCUCUUCUUCGGAAGCCAGAAAACAGGUGGUGCACGGUUGUCGUCAGCUCGUGUCGUGAGAUGUUGGGCUAAGUCCCGCAACGAGCGCAACCCCUAUCUUAUGUUGCCAGCACUUUGGGUGGGAAACUCAUGAGAGACUGCCGCAGACAAUGCGGAGGAAGGCGGGGAUGACGUCAAAUCAUCAUGCCCCUUAUGACCUGGGCUACACACGUACUACGAAUGGGAGUUAAUAGACGGAAGCGAAGAAUCGCGAGAUGGAGCGAAACCCGAGAAACCGCUCUCUCGGUUCGGAUCGUAGGCUGCGAACUCGCCUACGUGAAAGUUCGGAAUCGCUAGUGAUUCGCCGGUUCGACCGGACUGCGGUGAAGUCGUUCCUCGGCC